GUCUCCAGAUGCGUGUCUACUGCUGAGUUGCAGGGGAAACCAGCAAGCAUGGUGAUCCGUGCCCCUGCCCACCUCUCCUCUAAGACCUGGCACUGCCCAUCCACCUGGACGACUUCCUGCUUUUCAGAUAUCAGAAUGCAGGUGUGCCUGUGGAGUGGUACAACUGCAUCCUUUUCUCUCAGCACAACCCGAGUGGACAUCGACACGUUCAGAUUUAGCAGAGAUUCUUUUUUUCGCCAGUUCUUUCUACCCAUUAAAUGUGUUGCAGUAUCGGGAUUUGCCUGUGUGAGUGGCUUUAAAAGGAGGAAACCAGAGGACAAGAGCAGUUGCAUAUUGACGGUGUCAUGGAUGCCCUCUAACUUUAUCCAGUAGAGCUGUGGCAAGGAUGAAGAGAGUGAGCAUGUGUAAAGGGCUGCUGGUUGUGCACUCCGUGAACCUCUGCGCUUAUGGAAAGAAGAGACAUUUUGCUGGAAGGUUUGGGCUUCCAACUUUCCUGCUGACCGAGCUUGAACUGCUAGAAGGGGAAAAACAAACAGAGAUUCCACCUGCACCACGAGCCGGCCCCAGAGUAAACAUUCCACACACAUCGGCUGGGUUAUCUCCAGAAUGAUCCUGCAUGGCUGGUGCUGUUAUUAUCUCCAUGUUACAGGACUCAAAGAACUGGUCAGGGCUUAGCAGCCCCGGGACAACCUUGCCUGGAUGGAAGAUUUCACCUUUGGCGGAAAGGAGGCAAACUCAGCCAUGCUCUCAAGCAAAUUCCAACUGGGAUGCAGGUUUUCUUUCUCUUUUCCUGUUCCCCCUCUAGUUUAGAAGAGCUACUGCAUUGGCUGAUUCCCCAGGUUAGGAUUCCAAGGAAGCAAAAGUAAGAGUUAUUUCUUCAUUGAGCCUCAAGAGCCCUUUCAAUCCACUUGUUGUUGGCCCCAAGCCAAAGCCAGUUACCUUCUGAUGGAAAGAAAUGAUUUCCGUGUUAAUAUGAUUUGUAUCUGGCAAAUCCAUGCAGCCUGCUGAUUAUCAUCAUAUUCCUGGCCUUCCGUUCUUUUCAAAAUGACAGGCUAUUGAUCCAGCCUUCUCCCAGUUUUGAAGUUUAUGGAAAAGGACGUCUCCACGGUACAGUUCAUUCCCACUGGUCCUCGAGCUGCAGGGGAGACAUGUUGACUUUUGAAUUUCAGGUACUUUCCCUGCCCCUUUCAAUGAGGACCAAGCACUAAGAAUCUUCUGAUGCCUACCAGGCACAAUGCUGAGCCCAGAGUUGGCCCUCAGAGCUCGCUGAGCAGAACGGAGCUGGGGGUACCUGUCUCUCCCACCCUCCUCUGAGACUUUGCCCUUUAAAUUCAUCAGUGGCAGCACCGUGGGUUCUCUCCGCAGAGGCAGCGGCAUAGCCGGGCAUCUUCUCUUACCGACACUUUCUCUGUUUGGUGUGCGCUUAACAACCACCUUGAGGCUGGGUGAGAACCAGACUUGUUUUGAGGGACUCUGGGAAGGCAGAGCUGGGCUGUGGCCCUGGGUAUCCUGGCUCCAGGCCCAGUGCUCUUUCCCCUCAUCUUAUCCUCACAUCCCUCUCAGGCACCCUUCCAAGGCAGGCAGCGUAGCCCCACCAGCACUUAGACGGCAUCUUGGCCCUGCCGUUCAGGAGCUGCGGGAUCUUGAGCAGAUGUUAUCUUUCUAAGCCUCAGUUUCUUCAUCUGUUAACUGGAGCUAAGAAUGCCCCAGUCAGCAAUCCUCAGGGCCAUUGCACAAGUUAAAUGAGAUGAUGCCAGUGAAGCUUCUCACACAGAGGUUAUCUCUGAGUUAGGGCCCAAUAGCUGUUUACUGGUGUGACUGGUGAUACUAUUGUUCUUUGGGGGAAACUGUUCUCUUUCUGAGCCAAGACCAAUGGCUCGACCCGUAGGUCUUUCCUCAGCCUUGGUCUGGAUGUGGUCAUCAUUCCUCCAUCCACCUCCCUUUCUUAUUCUCUAAAUGAAAGAACCUGUCCUUUCAGCCAAAAGAAUUUGUAAGUGUUACCUGAGUUUCUAAGAUAUUUAGAAAGCCUCUUUCAAGGAGAAUCCUUAGAGACAGCAUGAAAAGAGAGUCAGGCCAGACAUCUGCCCCAUGAGGAGGAAGCCCGGAUUCUGGCCAACCACCUCUUCCCUCAUCUUCCUUUGUGGAGCAGAAACUUCACUAGAGACUGGAUUGAGCUGGCCCCCUGGUCUGGAUGUGGCCCUGAAACAGCACUGCUCAGCUGCCUCCAUCCCCUCCCCACCCAUCUGGGUACCAUGUCCUGCUGACUCUGUCUCCAUGACUCAUCUGAGUUUCCCUGUCAAACCCAGUGCCACCACCCCAGGCCAUGCUCCUCGUGCAUGGACAAUUAACUAGCCACUACCUAACGAGUCUUCUCGCCUUCAGAUUCUUAAGGAAUCCAGAACUCUGGACCAGACUGGGCUUCCUGGAGCCUGGCACUGUUGGUGUGCCUUCUCAGCAGACUCCCACUUUAUAAAGCAAGCUUCUAAGCCUAGGCCAGGCAGAAUGUGGCCAACCCUGUCCCCCUGUCUCGUGUCACUGUCCUCCAUUAGGGCUGCACACCAUGUCCCGCACUCACGUUUCCCAAACACCCAUCCAAGGUGCUUUGAAAAAAUGAGUGUUCCGAGGCAUGACCCAAAUCUACUGAGACUUACUGCAGGUAGAUCCGGGGAAUCUAUAUUUAUAAAAGUGUUCCAGGGGACCAAAGCCCCAUCAGGGGUGGGAACCACUGUGCACAGGGCUGCCAGGGAGGUCUGUGCUCAGCCCCCACGCUUAUCACGUACUCCCACUUCCACACAUGCCACCCUCUUUGCCCACCAUCCAGGCUCUGCCUGCUAAUUUCUCCCCAUCUUUCAAGGCCCACGUCCAAGAACCUCUCCUCCAGGAAGUUUCUCCAGAUUCCUCCAGCAGAAGUAUGCCUCAUCUCCCAACAUCCUGUCCUCCCUCUCUGCUAUAUUCUAGGCAUUCCUUAAAGUCUGCCUCCACUGCCUCAUCUCCUGGCCCCUGGACAAAAGGAAGAUGUCGCUGUGGCUGGCUGCUCUCCAUCCUUUCCCCAUCCACUUGCAGAUAAUAGUAUUUAUGGAAUAGGAGCCUCUUAAGGAUUCAUGAGCUAUCCAUCUAGAGGACUUCGAAUUGUGCCAAGAGAUGUUAGCUCUCAGAAUCCUCACGGCCGUCAUGGCAUCUUCAUUCAGGUUUUUGGGGUUAUUUGUGUGCCCGCAUUUUCUCCCUCGAGUUCCUGUUGACAGCAAGACUGUGUCCUGUUCCUCUUCCCACCCACUGCGACACUUGACACCAUACAGCUUUGGCAUGUAUACAGGACAUGUCAUAGUACUGGCUGGAUGGUGACAUGCUCUGAUACGGUUAACCGCUCCCCCUGUACCCCUCUCUUCUCUCCCCACCUGGCCCUACCACUGCAGUUUGCCCUCAAAGAACUUAGCACUCUUAGAGUUUGUAAUUAUGUCUUUACUUUUUGCAAUUAUUUGAUUAUCAUCUGAUAUUUUCACCAAGUUCUAAGUUCCCUGAAGGCAGGGAUUUUAAAGUCAUUAAUUAGCCACCCCUAAUUAAUCUAAAAUUGAUUCAUUAACCUACCAAUGGACUUUUUUUUUUUGGUUCUCCUAAUUAUACUAAUAUAAUAGAGGGGGUUCUGAAUAGUAGAGCAAUUAUGGUAAACGAGUUCUACGAGUAGCUAGAACUAUAUUCAGUGACCAUAUCAGAGUCUAGAUCAAUCAGAGCAUAGUUAAUUGGGUUAUUGACGGAGGUACAAGGUAGGCUUCAGUGUGGGCUCUGCAGUCAGGUGGGCUAGUUUGGGACAAUCUCACUUGUUACCUGUGUGACUAUAAACAAGGCCGUGACUCUACGCUUCUCAUCCGUAAAAUGGAGAUAAGAGUAGAUGGACCUCAUAGGAUCACUGGGCAUGUGAAAUGCUUACUCAGGAAGUUAGUUAUUAUGACGAUAAUACUGCUGACUUCCAAAUAACAUCAAACGAACCUAAUUAAAUGUUUAUGGGUAAGAUCAUGGGCUUCCAUUUUCUUAUCUGUGGGGAUAGUUUUUAUAAUAAAAAUGAUGAGCUGUUUACAAGGGAACAAUAAUGAUGGAGAUUUAGGGCCCAUCCAAGUACAUCCCAACCCCUGACCAGAAAUAUACUCACUUUAUAGAAAAUAAAGUCAUCACAGGUUUUACUUCCUCAAGGAAAGUUUAAGCAGAUUUAAAUUUUUCCUCAUAGAAAAACUAAAAUGAGUGAUUUGGGAACCAGGACAAAGAAAAAAAAGGGAAGGUCUCCAUUCAACCCCAUUCACCUGCUCUUCCAGCUGUAGGGCACUUGCCCUCCUGGAACUUUGAUGACAAACACAGAAUAUCACUGUGACCUUAAUAAAAUCUAGAGCCCUGCACUGUUUACGCACAAGGUCAUAUUCGAAAUCACGCAAUGCAAGGCCCACAGGCAAUUAAAGGGGAAUUGCUCAUCUUUAUUAGUAUCUCCCAAAGUACAGUUGGCCCUCUGUAUCUGUGGGUUUCACAUCUGAAAUUUCCAUCCACAGGUAGGAGAUGGAUAUGGAGGGCCGGCUAUAUUCAUUGUUCUCCAUUAUUUUAUGGAAGAGACAGGCCCAUUCAUGGAUUUGGAUUCACCUGGAGCCACCCCCAGGCAUACUGAGAGACAGCCGUACAUUAAAAGGGACUCGGGUGUUGCUGUUGUGGCUCAGCCUGUUGAAAACCCGACUAGUAUCCAUAAGGAUGCAGGUUCGAUCCCUGGCCUCACUCAGUGGGUUAAGGAUUCAGUGUUGUCGUGAGCUGUGGUGUAGGUCGCAGAUGAGGCUUGGAUCCAGCAUUGCUGUGGCUGUAGUGUAGGCCAGUAGCUGCAGCUCCAAUUCGACCCCUAGCCUGGGAACUUCCAUAUGCCACAGCUGUGGCCCUAAAAAGAAAAAAAAAAGUGAUUCAGUUCAUAGGUCACCAUAGUAUAUGUCAGAAGCACCUCCUCUCUGCUCUCAGAGAUGCUAUUUGGAGAUACUCCAAACCCCAGAUGCUUCCUCAAGCCUCAGCCCCUGGUAAAGGGUGUAGACCUUUCUCCUCCUACCUCCCUACUUGCUCCUUCUAUUGAUUGACCUCAUCCCUUUACCUCCCCACCCCCAACCCCUUCCACCUACCCCCUCUUCCCACAUCACAAAAGAUCCUGGACUGGGGCUGAUUAAAAGCUCUCCUUUACUGGAGGAAUGCUGGGCAGGGGCAGGCGGCAUAGAGGAUGACUAUCGUCUUUCCGGCUCCCUCUUUCAGAAACUGAAAAUUCUGUUUCUUUUCUGACUGUAGGUCACUGUCAUGGAACUGUUGACUAGGAUACGUAACUCAGGUUAGGUCAACCAGAUUCUCCCUGCUACCUCUCCCGGCAGCAGUGCCCCAGUGAGGCUCCUGAUUGGUUCCUGCCUUCCCCACCCCCUUGCUACCCAGACCUCUGCCACUGUCCAAGCCCAAUUCUUCAAUUUUCUCUACACCCUGCGAGCUGUCAAAAAUCUUUCCAACAAAUGUGUCUGCGUAAUUUGUCCACGUUGAUUUCUGUUGUUUGCAACCAAAGAACACUAGGUUAAUACCAAAAACUCUCAUAUUAAUCCAUCUUGUCACCAUCUCUGUUUGUGAGAUUACAGCUGCAGACCUGGACCAAUGAACCUGAAUUUAACUGAAGUAAUUUAUGGCAACACAAGGCCAAAAAGCAGCCUCCAUCAAAUUUGCUUUCUGGAGUUCCCCUUGUGGCUCAGAGGGUUAAGAGCCCAACAUAGUGCCCACGAGGAUGUGGGUUCAAACCCUGGCCUCGCUCAGUGUGUUAAGGAUCCCUUGUUGCUGUGGCUGUGGCAGAGGCCAGCAGCUGCAGCUCCAAUGUGACCUCUAGCCCUGGAACUUCCAUAUGCCACAGGUGCGGCUGUAAAAAAACUUUUUUUAAAAUUUGCUUUCUACUACCAUUUCUCAUUCUCUAACAAAAUCAUUCGGACCUACCUAAAAUUCCUGAUGAGGCAAAGAGUAAUGGUUACUCAAACAUUUUGUAAAACCUAUGUUCACUUUCUAGAGGCUAUGUUCAGUAAUAAAAAUAACAUGUACC
rnacentral:lncRNA from 1 species